rnacentral:rRNA from 1 species
UGAGUAACGCGUGGGCAACCUACCCUUUAGCCCGGGAUAACUUCCGGAAACGGGAGCUAAUCCCGGAUGCGGAGCAAGGGACGCAUGUUCGUUGCUCGAAAGCUACGGCGCUAAAGGAUGGGCCCGCGUCCCAUUAGCUAGUUGGUGAGGUAACGGCUCACCAAGGCGACGAUGGGUAGCCGGCCUGAGAGGGUGGACGGCCACACUGGGACUGAGACACGGCCCAGACUCCUACGGGAGGCAGCAGUAGGGAAUCUUGCGCAAUGGGCGAAAGCCUGACGCAGCGACGCCGCGUGAGGGAAGAAGGCCUUCGGGUCGUAAACCUCUGUCCUUGGGGACGAUGAUGACGGUACCCAAGGAGGAAGCCCCGGCUAACUACGUGCCAGCAGCCGCGGUAAUACGUAGGGGGCGAGCGUUGUCCGGAAUUACUGGGCGUAAAGGGUGCGUAGGCGGCAAGGUAAGUCCUGUGUGAA